rnacentral:miRNA from 2 species
AAAGGCAGUAUCUGAUGCAGUUAAAUAGAACGGUCGACUCAGCGGACAUCGUCCUAUUUGACUGCACCGGGAAUUGUCUUUCC